rnacentral:rRNA from 1 species
UACGAAGGGGGCUAGCGUUGCUCGGAAUUACUGGGCGUAAAGGGAGCGUAGGCGGAUAGUUCAGUCAGAGGUGAAAGCCCAGGGCUCAACCUUGGAACUGCCUUUGAUACUGGCUAUCUUGAGUUUGGGAGAGGUGUGUGGAACUCCGAGUGUAGAGGUGAAAUUCGUAGAUAUUCGGAAGAACACCAGUGGCGAAGGCGACACACUGGCCCAAUACUGACGCUGAGGCUCGAAAGCGUAGGGAGCAAACAGG